rnacentral:misc_RNA from 1 species
AUAUUGUAAAUCUUAUUGUUCAAGAUGGUACAAAAGAAGCAUGUGUCUAUUGAACGAGUUAGGCAAGCAGUGAGAUACAUCAGGCAAUCUCCUGCUAGGUCGAAAAAAUUUCAAGAAUGUUGUGAAGAUGAAAAUCUUGCUAAAAAGUCUUUAUGCUUGGAUGUUCCUACAAGGUGGAAUUCCACCUACAUGAUGUUGAGCAGGGUUAUUGAAUAUGAAGGGGCAAUUGUAGAGUACGCCGAUCGUGCAAUUGGCUUGACACUAUAUCUUAAGUUUGUUGAUAAAAACUCUACAGCUACACUUUUGAGUAGUGAUUGUGAGGGUGUAAAGAGAAUUAUAAAAUUUCUUGAAAUGUUUUUUAGUCUUACUUUGAAGAUAUCUGGUUCACGAU